GGACAGGCUUAACACAUGCAAGUCGAGGGGCAGCACCCGUAGCAAUACCGGGUGGCGACCGGCGCACGGGUGAGUAACGCGUAUGCAACUUGCCUAUCAGAGGGGGAUAACCCGGCGAAAGUCGGACUAAUACCGCAUGAAGCAGGGGCCCCGCAUGGGGAUAUUUGCUAAAGAUUCAUCGCUGAUAGAUAGGCAUGCGUUCCAUUAGGCAGUUGGCGGGGUAACGGCCCACCAAACCGACGAUGGAUAGGGGUUCUGAGAGGAAGGUCCCCCACAUUGGUACUGAGACACGGACCAAACUCCUACGGGAGGCAGCAGUGAGGAAUAUUGGUCAAUGGGCGCGAGCCUGAACCAGCCAAGUCGCGUGAGGGAUGAAGGUUCUAUGGAUCGUAAACCUCUUUUAUAAGGGAAUAAAGUGCGGGACGUGUCCCGUUUUGUAUGUACCUUAUGAAUAAGGAUCGGCUAACUCCGUGCCAGCAGCCGCGGUAAUACGGAGGAUCCGAGCGUUAUCCGGAUUUAUUGGGUUUAAAGGGUGCGUAGGCGGCCUUUUAAGUCAGCGGUGAAAGUCUGUGGCUCAACCAUAGAAUUGCCGUUGAAACUGGGGGGCUUGAGUAUGUUUGAGGCAGGCGGAAUGCGUGGUGUAGCGGUGAAAUGCUUAGAUAUCACGCAGAACCCCGAUUGCGAAGGCAGCCUGCCAAGCCAUGACUGACGCUGAUGCACGAAAGCGUGGGGAUCAAACAGGAUUAGAUACCCUGGUAGUCCACGCAGUAAACGAUGAUCACUAGCUGUUUGCGAUACAGUGUAAGCGGCACAGCGAAAGCGUUAAGUGAUCCACCUGGGGAGUACGCCGGCAACGGUGAAACUCAAAGGAAUUGACGGGGGCCCGCACAAGCGGAGGAACAUGUGGUUUAAUUCGAUGAUACGCGAGGAACCUUACCCGGGUUUGAACGCAUUCGGACCGAGGUGGAAACACCUUUUCUAGCAAUAGCCGUUUGCGAGGUGCUGCAUGGUUGUCGUCAGCUCGUGCCGUGAGGUGUCGGCUUAAGUGCCAUAACGAGCGCAACCCUUGCCACUAGUUACUAACAGGUUAGGCUGAGGACUCUGGUGGGACUGCCAGCGUAAGCUGCGAGGAAGGCGGGGAUGACGUCAAAUCAGCACGGCCCUUACAUCCGGGGCGACACACGUGUUACAAUGGCGUGGACAAAGGGAUGCCACCUGGCGACAGGGAGCGAAUCCCCAAACCACGUCUCAGUUCGGAUCGGAGUCUGCAACCCGACUCCGUGAAGCUGGAUUCGCUAGUAAUCGCGCAUCAGCCAUGGCGCGGUGAAUACGUUCCCGGGCCUUGUACACACCGCCCGUCAAGCCAUGGGAGCCGGGGGUACCUGAAGUCCGUAACCGCGAGGAUCGGCCUAGGGUAAAACUGGUGACUGGGGCUAA
rnacentral:rRNA from 1 species